GUGGGGAAUAUUGGACAAUGGGCGCAAGCCUGAUCCAGCCAUGCCGCGUGAGUGAUGAAGGCCUUAGGGUUGUAAAGCUCUUUCAGCUGGGAAGAUAAUGACGGUACCAGCAGAAGAAGCCCCGGCUAACUUCGUGCCAGCAGCCGCGGUAAUACGAAGGGGGCUAGCGUUGUUCGGAAUCACUGGGCGUAAAGCGCACGUAGGCGGAUCGAUAAGUCAGGGGUGAAAUCCCGAGGCUCAACCUCGGAACUGCCUUUGAUACUGUCGACCUUGAGUCCGGGAGAGGUGAGUGGAACUCCGAGUGUAGAGGUGAAAUUCGUAGAUAUUCGGAAGAACACCAGUGGCGAAGGCGGCCAACUGGCUCGAUACUGACGCUGAGGUGCGAAAGCGUGGGGAGCAAACAGGAUUAGAUACCCGAGUAGUCC
rnacentral:rRNA from 1 species